rnacentral:tRNA from 1 species
GCGGGGGUGCUCCAGUUCGGCCAACGAGGCAGGGCUUAGGACCCUGUUGCCUAGGGCAUUCGCCGGUUCAAAGGGAGGUCCGACGCGCGACGUCGGUCUCCGGAACUUCCGGCCCCCCGCA